UGCCCAACUUGCAGACUUUUCAAU
rnacentral:miRNA from 1 species